rnacentral:rRNA from 1 species
CUGCAAGGUGCUGCAUGGUUGUCGUCAGCUCGUGCCGUGAGGUGUCGGGUUAAGUCCCAUAACGAGCGCAACCCUUAUCGUUAGUUGCCAUCUGGUAAUGCAGGGGACUCUAGCGAAACUGCCACCGUAAGGUGAGAGGAAGGUGGGGAUGACGUCAAAUCAGCACGGCCCUUAUGUCCAGGGCUACACACGUGUUACAAUGGUCGGUACAGAGGGCAGCUACCUGGUGACAGGAUGCUAAUCUCGAAAACCGGUCUCAGUUCGGAUCGAAGUCUGCAACUCGACUUCGUGAAGCUGGAUUCGCUAGUAAUCGCGCAUCAGCUAUGGCCGCGGUCGAAUACGUUCCCGGGCCUU